rnacentral:lncRNA from 1 species
AAUAAACAUUUCCAAAGGGAGGAAUGUUGACCACUCUGUGGCAGAGGUGUUAACUGUGUGGAUGCUGGAGGCAGAUGACCUCAUUUCAACCCUGGCGCUUCCGUUUCCUGGCUGUGCAGUCUUGGCUAAGUUCCUUGCUGAUGCUGAACUUCCGUUUCUUCAUCUGUGAAGUGAGGACAAUAACAUUUUUCUCCUAUGGUUAUUGGGGGGAGUAAAUGAGGCGAUGCCUGUGGAGUACUCAGCAUAGUGCCUGACACAUGCUAGAUGGUCAAGAAAUAAUCGCAACUGGUCCCUUCAUGAAGUUUACAGUCAGGUGGAUCAUCUCCCAGCCACCAGCUCUCUCUCUAAAAUUCCAAAGUGGAGUCAGGGUCCCAGAAAGGCUGAUUAUUUAAGUCCAGAAUCUGCAACUCAGGUUUUCCUUCCCCGCUGUCGUCUCUAGAGAACAUGUGUGCUGUAGGGUUCCAUCUGCUUCUGUAAUAAAACAUAAAUUAUUAAAACCAUAAAAUAUUGAUGAACUGUUUUAUAAAACAGAGGGACUUUAACGUAUUGAUUAUGAAUUGAGAAAGCCUUAAUGAUCUUCAGGAGGAGAAAUAAUUGGGCAAUGAUGGUGGGUUGAUUUCCUUCCGUGCCCCUGAAUAACAAGCAAUUAGGAGAAUAAGCUCCCGCUGUCCCAUUUUGCAUCACUGUCAUCUUGCUUUCUUGCCGCUGCACCUUUAAAAGCUACCUUCCAUGAUCAUUACAUGCCACCCAAAGAGAGAGGAGGGGAAAGAACUUCCUUCUUAAAAAGCAACAAAGUAUUUUUGCUGGAAACUGACUUGCUUUUCUUUAGCUCUCUAGGUGGUUCCCAUCAACCCUGGAACACUGGUGGUUUACAUUGUAGCUCUUUUCAUUCUUAGGUGAUUCAAUCAACAAGUUUCUCUCACUGAAGUUCAGGAAGACUUUUCUGUCCCUUUCAUCUUGGAAUGAAGGACCUUAGAACCGGAAGUGAAAAGACCAAGCCGCCCAGAGAGGAAGCAUCUGUCCAAAAUCUCACAGUUAAUUGGGGUCAGGGCUUGGCCUGGCAUCCAGGUGCGCUGACGCUCGUGCUGGAGAGUCUUCUGCUUCCACAUUCUAAGGGGGAGUUUUGGAUGGUGAGAGCUGUUCAAAUGUGGAGCGGGCUCUUGGAUUUUAGCCUUGGUGAAUAGUGAAACGUCCCUCACCGGCUGUAUGGAACAGAGGUUGGAUAACCUCGCGACCUCUUGGAGGGGAUUUGAAGUUUUCUGGAGUAACGCAGUCACUCCCUCAGUCAUCUACACUGGCCUGCUGAUCUUCAAAAUCUCCCAGGUGCUGGAGACUCAGCUGUGACAAGACAGAGAGGUCCCCUGGCUGUAAGGAACUUUCUUUCUAGUUGACGGCUGGAGUGGGCAGACAGAUGAGGAAACCAAGGCAUUCAUGGUUGGCGGGAUGUUCCUGAGGUCACAGAGCGCUCACCUGGUGGAUCUGGGAUUUGGAUCCAGGUCUCCUUUGGUUUCUGAGCUAGCUGGUUCUAAUCAUUUUCGAUCACAGGGCUUUUACGGCAGCUCUGACUACCAGCCUCCGGCGCCCUUGCAGACAAUCCUCCAGCCAGUGAAGAAUCUGAGCAGAUUUCUGCCUUUCUCACAAAGCCCCCUUCCCUCCCCCUCUCUCCUCCCCUCUUUUCCCAGACUGCCAUUCUUCCCUAGCAAUUAUCAAGUUUCCAGCCUCCUUUUGCAUCUCGGGAUGAUGCUCGCAUCUGCUUCUGUUGCUGGGUGGAGGAAGACGGAAAACCAUGUGGGGGAAAGUGGGGUCAGGGAG